rnacentral:rRNA from 1 species
UAGCAUAUCAAUAAGCGGAGGAAAAGAAACCCACAGGGAUUGCCCUAGUAACGGCGAGUGAAGCGGCAAAAGCUCAAAUUUGAAAUCUGGCUCUCUAUGGGAGUCCGAGUUGUAAUUUGCAGAGGGCGCUUUGGCGUCGGCAGCGGUCUAAGUUCCUUGGAACAGGACGUCACAGAGGGUGAGAAUCCCGUACGUGGUCGCCUGCCUUCGCCGUGUAAAGCCCCUUCGACGAGUCGAGUUGUUUGGGAAUGCAGCUCUAAAUGGGAGGUAAAUUUCUCCUAAAGCUAAAUACUGGCCAGAGACCGAUAGCGCACAAGUAGAGUGAUCGAAAGAUGAAAAGCACUUUGGAAAGAGAGUCAAAUAGCACGUGAAAUUGUUGAAAGGGAAGCGCUUGCAGCCAGACGUGCCCACGGUUGUUCUCUUCCGUGGGCAGGCCAGCAUCAGUUUGGGCGGUCGGAUAAAGGCCUCUGUCACGUAUCUCCCUUCGGGGAGACCUUAUAGGGGAGGCGUAAUGCGACCAGCCCGGACUGAGGUCCGCGCAUCUGCUAGGAUGCUGGCGUAAUGGCUGUAAGCGGCCCGUCUUGAAACACGGACCAAGGAGUCUAACAUCUAUGCGAGUGUUUGGGUGUCAAGCCCGAGCGCGCAAUGAAAGUGAACGGAGGUGGGAACCCUCUUGGGGGUGCACCAUCGACCGAUCCUGAAGUCUUCGGAUGGAUUUGAGUAAGAGCAUGGCUGUUGGGACCCGAAAGAUGGUGAACUAUGCUUGAAUAGGGUGAAGCCAGAGGAAACUCUGGUGGAGGCUCGCAGCGGUUCUGACGUGCAAAUCGAUCGUCAAAUUUGGGCAUAGGGGCGAAAGACUAAUCGAACUAUCUAGUAGCUGGUUCCUGCCGAAGUCCCCCCUCAAGGAUU